rnacentral:lncRNA from 1 species
AUUGGAAUUGAAAAGAUGGGUAGCCCUCAUUUCUUCUGGAAUUGUGAGGUUCAGCCUCACGUUCUGUCAUGGAGAGGGAUGUCUUGAGGGAGAGUGUGCCGCUCUUUGGCAGGUAAACUCCAUAGCCUGCCCUGUGGGGAGGUGUCCCAGGGCCAUCUCCCUCAGUGCCCCAGGCUCUGUUGGAUUUCCCCCCUCCCCCGCCAGCCUGCCUUCCUCAAGUUCUGGUAAAAAAAAAAAAAAAAAAAAAAAAAAAAAAAAAAAAAAAAAAAAAAAAAAAAAAAAAAAAAAAAAAAAAAAAAAAAAAAAAAAAAAAAAAAAAAAAAAAAAAAAAAAAAAAAAAAAAAAAAAAAAAAAAAAAAAAAAAAAAAAAAAAAAAAAAAAAAAAAAAAAAAAAAAAAAAAAAAAAAAAAAAAAAAAAAAAAAAAAAAAAAAAAAAAAAAAAAAAAAAAAAAAAAAAAAAAAAAAAAAAAAAAAAAAAAAAAAAAAAAAAAAAAAAAAAAAAAAAAAAAAAAAAAAAAAAAAAAAAAAAAAAAAAAAAAAAAAAAAAAAAAAAAAAAAAAAAAAAAAAAAAAAAAAAAAAAAAAAAAAAAAAAAAAAAAAAAAAAAAAAAAAAAAAAAAAAAAAAAAAAAAAAAAAAAAAAAAAAAAAAAAAAAAAAAAAAAAAAAAAAAAAAAAAAAAAAAAAAAAAAAAAAAAAAAAAAAAAAAAAAAAAAAAAAAAAAAAAAAAAAAAAAAAAAAAAAAAAAAAAAAAAAAAAAAAAAAAAAAAAAAAAAAAAAAAAAAAAAAAAAAAAAAAAAAAAAAAAAAAAAAAAAAAAAAAAAAAAAAAAAAAAAAAAAAAAAAAAAAAAAAAAAAAAAAAAAAAAAAAAAAAAAAAAAAAAAAAAAAAAAAAAAAAAAAAAAAAAAAAAAAAAAAAAAAAAAAAAAAAAAAAAAAAAAAAAAAAAAAAAAAAAAAAAAAAAAAAAAAAAAAAAAAAAAAAAAAAAAAAAAAAAAAAAAAAAAAAAAAAAAAAAAAAAAAAAAAAAAAAAAAAAAAAAAAAAAAAAAAAAAAAAAAAAAAAAAAAAAAAAAAAAAAAAAAAAAAAAAAAAAAAAAAAAAAAAAAAAAAAAAAAAAAAAAAAAAAAAAAAAAAAAAAAAAAA